rnacentral:rRNA from 1 species
AUUGAACGCUGGCGGCAGGCUUAACACAUGCAAGUCGAGCGGGGGAAGGUAGCUUGCUACUGGACCUAGCGGCGGACGGGUGAGUAAUGCUUAGGAAUCUGCCUAUUAGUGGGGGACAACAUCUCGAAAGGGAUGCUAAUACCGCAUACGUCCUACGGGAGAAAGCAGGGGAUCUUCGGACCUUGCGCUAAUAGAUGAGCCCAAGUCGGAUUAGCUAGUUGGUGGGGUAAAGGCCUACCAAGGCGACGAUCUGCAGCGGGUCUGGGAGGAUGAUCCGCCACACUGGGACUGAGACACGGCCCAGACUCCUACGGGAGGCAGCAGUGGGGAAUAUUGGACAAGGGGGGGAACCCUGAUCCAGCCAUGCCGCGUGUGUGAAGAAGGCCUUAUGGUUGUAAAGCACUUUAAGCGAGGAGGAGGCUACUCUAGUUAAUACCUAGGGAUAGUGGACGUUACUCGCAGAAUAAGCACCGGCUAACUCUGUGCCAGCCGCCGCAGUAA